GUUGUAAGCGUGAUAACGACGAUAAUUCAUCUUAAACGUGUAGAUAGCACACGGUAUUCAUAACAAAUAUCAAUUAUUUUUUUCGUUGUGUACUUGAAGUGUGUCCGCUUAUCGGAAGGAAUACAUUUUGGAAAACCACAAUGAAACAAAGGCCGCCGAUCGAUGGACCUCGCCGCAUCUUACUUGCUGAAGAGCUUAUGCGUUUUUUUUUUUUAUUUCAAUGCAAAUAAAAUGUUACUGUACUAACUAUGUAUGUAGUUACAGAACGUGACUUGACUAAAAGUUGCUAUAAAAUCGUUUUAAAAUGAAAA